rnacentral:rRNA from 1 species
AUUGAACGCUGGCGGCAGGCCUAACACAUGCAAGUCGAACGAGUGGCGGACGGGUGAGUAAUGUCUGGGAAACUGCCUGAUGGAGGGGGAUAACUACUGGAAACGGUAGCUAAUACCGCAUCCCAUCAGAUGUGCCCAGAUGGGAUUCGCUAGUUGGUGGGGUAAAGGCUCACCAAGGCGACGAUCCCUAGCUGGUCUGAGAGGAUGACCAGCCAAACUGGAACUGUGACCCGGUCCAUACUCCUACGGGAGGCAGCAGUGGGGAAUAUUGCACAAUGGGCGCAAGCCUGAUGCAUCCAUGCCGCGUGUGUGAAGAAGGCCUUCGGGUUGUAAAGCACUUUCAGCGAGGAGGCGUUACUCGCAGAAGAAGCACCGGCUAACUCCGUGCCAGCCGCCGCGGUAAUAC